UAACGCGUAGGUAACCUGCCUGGUAGCGGGGGGAAACUAUUGGAAACGAUAGCUAAUACCGCAUGACAACAGUUAUUGCAUGAUAACUGUUUAAAGGGGGCAAUUGCUCCACUACCAGAUGGACCUGCGUUGUAUUAGCUAGUUGGUGAGGUAACGGCUCACCAAGGCGACGAUACAUAGCCGACCUGAGAGGGUGAUCGGCCACACUGGGACUGAGACACGGCCCAG
rnacentral:rRNA from 1 species